UUCACCAUCAACCAUGUUUUCUGUAGCUCUGCUGCUGCUGUUGGCAGCUGGAUCCUAUGUGAAGUGUGAACAGUUGACACAGCCAGCCUCUGUGACUGUGCAGCCAGGUCAACGUCUGACCAUCACCUGUCAGGUCUCUUAUUCUGUUAGCAGCUACUACACAGCUUGGAUCAGACAGCCUGCAGGGAAAGGAUUGGAGUGGAUUGGAUAUGCAGCAGCUGGAUCCACCACAUACUACAAAGACUCACUAAAGAACAAGACUCUUCCAGCAGCACAGUGACUCUAAAUGGACAGAAUGUGCAGCCUGAAGACACUGCUGUGUAUUACUGUGCCAGAUACACACAAUAACACAAACCAUCUGUAGAUCU